rnacentral:misc_RNA from 1 species
AGGCUUGUCCGGGUUGCGUCUCGAUCGUCCGGUCGCUCCUCCUUUCGGAGGUGGCGUCGGGCUGUCGGACAACCCCCGGGCAGCGUUGGGACGACGCGUGAGUGGCAAUCAGGACAGGUUUCCUUUGCAGGCUCCGUGCUUCUCGCAUCGAACUGCUUCGGUCUGUCCGUCUCAUUUGAUCGCUCGCCUCGAUGCCCCGAGGGUCGGUCGCGAGUGAAGGGUGGGUUCCUGUGCUUGAUACCGGAUUUCGGUACUCGGAUUCAAUGGUGUCCACGUCUUGGUUCCCUUGUUCCUCCUCCGCCUCCCGUGCGUUGGUGGUUAUCGUGCGGGCAUCGACGCCUUCCGUCCGGGCGGUCGUCCACCUCUGGGGCGUUUCCGCUCGUGUCGGCGCGUCGAUGCCGUCCGCGUGCUCUUGGGUACGGAGAUAUCUCUUCUUGUAGCGCGGUCCUCUGUUGGCCGUUGCGAUCUCGGCUUGUCUAUAAGCUUCUUUGCUUCCGCUCGGUUGACCCUCGUGCUUUCCUUGGUGCUCACGGAGCCUCUCCUCUCCGUGUUCGUCCUUGGGAGGCAUCGAGGUCUACAAUGGAAUGCUACCUGGUUGAUCCUGCCAGUAG